GACUACCGGGGUAUCUAAUCCCGUUUGCUCCCCUGGCUUUCGUACCUCAGCGUCAGCUAUGGACCAGAGAGCCGCCUUCGCCACCGGUGUUCCUCUUGAUAUCUACGCAUUUCACCGCUCCACCAAGAGUUCCGCUCUCCUCUACCAUCCUCUAGCCUCGCAGUAUGCCUGACAGUUCCACGGGUAAGCCGUGGGAUUUCAUCAGACACUUACGAGGCCGCCUACGUACGCUUUAUGCCCAGUGAUUCCGAACAACGUUUGCACCCUCUGUAUUACCGCGGCUGCUGGCACAGAGUUAGCCGGUGCUUCCUCCAGGGCUUACGUCAUCCCAAGCAUUGUUAUCACUUGUACUUUCAUAACCCUAGACAGGAGUUUACAACCCGAAGGCCUUCAUCCUCCACGCGGCGUCGCUCCGUCAGACUUGCGUCCAUUGCGGAAGAUCCUCGACUGCAGCCCCCCGUAGG
rnacentral:rRNA from 1 species